UCACCGACAAACGUAGGCAUAUCGGUCAAGUACGCGCGGUGAUAGUCGCUAAAUGCGCCGCCAUUUUGUGUUGUUCAAAGUCAUGAUACAUUUGGAGACUUAUUCGACUGAACGAAGAAGUAUGCAGCCGCUCGAAGAAGUAUUCAGUCGAACGAAGAAGUAUACGGCCGAACGAAGAAGUAUUCGAUUGAAAGAAGAAGUAUUCGGCGGAACGAAGCAAUCAACUGAAGGAAGAAGUAUUCAGCCGAAUGAUGAGAUAUUUGGCAGGAAGCAGGAGUUGUUCGCCACAAAAAUAAAUAUGCGGCGGAACAAAUAAAUAAUAAAGAAUUUCAAACCACCAUUAUUCGACCGAAAAAAACGAAUUAUUCGGCCGAAACAAGAUGUAUUCGGCCGAACGAAGGAGUAUUCGGCAGAACGAAGAAGUAUUCGGCAGAACGAAGAAGUAUUUGGCAGAACGAAGAAGUAUUCGGCAGAACGAAGAAGUAUUCAUCCGAACGAAGACGUAUUCGGCCGAACGAAAAAGUAUUCAUCCGAACGAAGAAGUAUUCGAUCGAACGAAGACGUAUUCGGCCGAACGAAGAAGUAUUCAUCCGAACGAAGAAGUAUUCAUCCGAACGAAGAAGUAUUCUAUCGAACGAAGACGUAUUCGGCCGAACGAAGAAGUAUUCGGCCGGACGAAGAAGUAUUCGGCUGAACGAAGAAGUAUUCAACCGAAUGAAGAAGUCUAACUAAACAUAACAACAACAAUAAGGCAUAUUCUGCUUAUGAUUAAUUUCGGCCCAAAUAAUUAGAUUACUAUCUAUAGACACUUUAGCUAACAAUCUUCGAAAAUAGAAACGCACAAUGAAUAAAAAUACAGU